rnacentral:rRNA from 1 species
UNCGNAUGGCCUACGGCUGACGCAGCGACGCCGCGUGUGGGAUGAAGCUCCUCGGAGUGUAAACCACUGUUGCCCGGGACGAAUAGCUCGAUUAAUCGAGCCUGACGGUACCGGGUGAGGAAGCACCGGCUAACUCCGUGCCAGCAGCCGCGGUAAUACGGGGGGUGCGAGCGUUGUCCGGAAUCACUGGGCGUAAAGGGCGCGUAGGUGGUUUGAUAAGGGUGUGGUGAAAGCCCGGGGCUCAACCCCGGGUCUGCCGUGCCGACUGUUGAACUCGAGGGCUGUAGAGGCAGACGGAAUUCCGGGUGUAGCGGUGGAAUGCGUAGAGAUCCGGAGGAAGACCGGUGGCGGAGGCGGUCUGCUGGGCAGUUUCUGACACUGAUGCGCGACAGCGUGGGGAGCAAACAGGAUUAGAUACCCUGGUAGUCCACGCCGUAAACGAUGGGUACUAGGUGCCUGGGGGAGCGACCCUCUGGGUGCCGGCGCUAACGCAGGAAGUACCCCGCCUGGGGAGUACGACCGCAAGGUUGAAACUCAAAAAAAUUGAACGGA